GUGACUUCCCUUUGAAUAACAUAAUUCCACUAUUGUGUCUAGCUCAUGACGUAAAAGAAGAACUUCUUGGGAGGCAACCCAAGGUAUGUGUUUGUUAUUAUUUUUUUAUUUUUGUUUUUCCUUCGUGUGUUUGUGAUAGUUCAGGUCAUUGAGGACAAUCCCUUCAAGUUUGGGGGCACCGGUGUUAUUGAUUGUAUUUAAAAAAAUGAUUUUGGAUUCUCAUAAAGGGAUGAUGUCUAAGGUUAAAAGGGAUUUAAGUAGUCCAUGUGACUCCCC
rnacentral:lncRNA from 1 species